CUGGGCCACCUUUGGGACUACCUUAUGCAAAGAGGGAGAACCUGGCUCCUUACAGCUCCCUUGACAAUUUUCUCCAUUCUCUGGCUGCUGACAACUGCCCGUGCCCACUGGAGAAGAUUAAGAAGACCUCGGGGACAGAGAACGGGACAAGCGGACCCAGCUUCCUUAGGAACAGAGGAAACGGACAACCUAAAUGCUCUUGACCUGCUCUGCCAGAUGGACGCCUACAUAACCUUAAUGGAGAGACUUAUGACGAUCCUCAUGCAGCACCAUGUGAAAAAUGUCAGGAGCCAGCAGUGCAGGAAGACAGCGCACAGCACGGGGGACAGGAAGAGCCUCUCCACAGACUCCUGAGGGAGCUGGCAGAGGUGACUGCCAAGCCGCUCUCGGCCAUCUACCAGCCCUCCUGAUUAACUGGAGAGGUCAACAAGGCCAAGUGGCGGGUCCUGCACUUUGGCCACAACAAGCCCAUGCAGCGCUAUAGGCUUGGGGAUGAGUGGCUGGAGGACUGUGAAGAGGAAAGUGUCCUGCGGGUGUUGGCUGAUGAAAGGCUCAACAUGAGCCGGCACCGUGCACUUGCAGCCCCCAAGGCCAAGCGUUUCCUGUGCUGCAUUAAGACAAACGUGAUUAGCAGGUCAGGGGAAGUGAUUCUGCUCCUCUACUCUGCUCUCACAAGACUCCACCUGCCGCACUGCAUCCACUUCUGGGGCCCCCAGCACAAGAAAGACAGCAGAGCAGGUCCACUGAUGCUGAGCACCGUGCCUCCAAGUGGCUGUGCUGACCGGGCCUUUCUCAAUGCCCCAUUCGGCUCUGGAACAAGGUCAGCAAGGCUGUUGUUCCAGAUGGCCCAAAGCAGCAACCCUCAGGCACCAAGAGGAAA
ensembl:lncRNA